rnacentral:rRNA from 1 species
AUUGAACGCUGGCGGCAGGCCUAACACAUGCAAGUCGAGCGGAUGAAGGGAGCUUGCUCCUGGAUUCAGCGGCGGACGGGUGAGUAAUGCCUAGGAAUCUGCCUGGUAGUGGGGGAUAACGUCCGGAAACGGGCGCUAAUACCGCAUACGUCCUGAGGGAGAAAGUGGGGGAUCUUCGGACCUCACGCUAUCAGAUGAGCCUAGGUCGGAUUAGCUAGUUGGUGGGGUAAAGGCCUACCAAGGCGACGAUCCGUAACUGGUCUGAGAGGAUGAUCAGUCACACUGGAACUGAGACACGGUCCAGACUCCUACGGGAGGCAGCAGUGGGGAAUAUUGGACAAAGGGCGAAAGCCUGAUCCAGCCAUGCCGCGUGUGUGAAGAAGGUCUUCGGAUUGUAAAGCACUUUAAGCUGGGAGGAAGGGCAGUAAGUUAAUACCUUGCUGUUUUGACGUUACCAACAGAAUAAGCACCGGCUAACUUCGUG